rnacentral:misc_RNA from 1 species
GAUGAAGAACGUAGUGAAAUGCGAUAAGUAAUGUGAAUUGCAGAAUUCAGUGAAUCAUCGAAUCUUUGAACGCACCUUGCGCCCUUUGGCCAUUCCGAAGGGCAUGCCUGUUUGAGUAUCAUGAACACCUCAACUCUCAUGGCUUGCCAUGAUGAGCUUGGACUUUGGGGGUCUUGCUGGCCUGUGGUCGGCUCCUCUCAAAUGAAUCAGCUUGCCAGUGUUUGGUGGCAUCACAAGUGUGAUAACUAUCUGCGCUCGUGGUUUCCAUCAGAUAACCUCCAGUGAUGGAGGUUCGCUGGAGCUCAUAAAUGUCUCUCCUAAGCGAGGACAGCUCUUUUAAUGUUUGAUCUCAAAUCAGGUAGGACUACCCGCUGAACUUAAGCAUAUCAAAAGCGGAGGA